AGUCCGCUAAGUUAAAUAAACUACAAACCUUCAAAGUUUGCAAUGGUUCGCCGCGGUCUA
rnacentral:tRNA from 1 species